UACGAAGGGGGCUAGCGUUGCUCGGAAUCACUGGGCGUAAAGGGUGCGUAGGCGGGUCUUUAAGUCAGGGGUGAAAUCCUGGAGCUCAACUCCAGAACUGCCUUUGAUACUGAAGAUCUUGAGUUCGGGAGAGGUGAGUGGAACUGCGAGUGUAGAGGUGAAAUUCGUAGAUAUUCGCAAGAACACCAGUGGCGAAGGCGGAGCUCACCUGGCCC
rnacentral:rRNA from 1 species